GACGAACGCUGGCGGCGCGCCUAACACAUGCAAGUCGAACGGAGAAGAGACAGCUUGCUGGAUCUUCUUAGUGGCGGACGGGUGAGUAACACGUGAGCAACCUACCCCUCAGAGUGGAAUAACGUUUGGAAACGAACGCUAAUACCGCAUAACAUCAUUGGAUGGCAUCAUUCGAUGAUCAAAGAUUUAUCGCUGAGGGAUGGGCUCGCGUCCGAUUAGGUAGUUGGUGAGAUAACAGCCCACCAAGCCGACGAUCGGUAGCCGGACUGAGAGGUUGAACGGCCACAUUGGGACUGAGACACGGCCCAGACUCCUACGGGAGGCAGCAGUGGGGGAAUAUUGCGCAAUGGGGGCAACCCUGACGCAGCAACGCCGCGUGAAGGAUGAAGGUCUUCGGAUCGUAAACUUUUGUCUUAGUGAAGAGAAUGACGGUAGCUAAGGNGAAAAGCCCAACGGGCUAACUACGUG
rnacentral:rRNA from 1 species